rnacentral:rRNA from 1 species
CAGCCGUAAACUAUGCGCGUUAGGUGUACUGGUGACCACGAGUCACCGGGGUGCCGAAGGGAAACCGUGAAACGUGCCGCCUAGGAAGUACGGUCGCAAGGCUGAAACUUAAAGGAAUUGGCGGGGGAGCACCACAACAGGUGGAGCCUGCGGUUUAAUUGGAUUCAACGCCGGACAUCUCACCGGAUAAGACAGCUGAAUGAUUGUCAAUCUGAAGGUUUUACAUGACUAGCUGAGAGGAGGUGCAUGGCGUCAGUGACU